rnacentral:rRNA from 1 species
UACGUAGGGUGCAAGCGUUGUCCGGAAUUAUUGGGCGUAAAGAGCUCGUAGGCGGUCUGUCGCGUCGGAUGUGAAAAUCCAGGGCUUAACCCUGGGCCUGCAUUCGAUACGGGCAGACUAGAGUUCGGUAGGGGAGACUGGAAUUCCUGGUGUAGCGGUGAAAUGCGCAGAUAUCAGGAGGAACGCCGGUGGCGAAUGCGGGUCUCUAGGCCGAGACUGACGCUGAGGAGCGAAAGCGUGGGGAGCGAACAGG